rnacentral:rRNA from 1 species
UGCAGUCGAACGGAAAGGCCCUUCGGGGUACUCGAGUGGCGAACGGGUGAGUAACACGUGGGUGAUCUGCCCUGCACUUUGGGAUAAGCCUGGGAAACUGGGUCUAAUACCGAAUAGUCCCUACUGGCUGCAUGGUCUGGUAGGGGAAAGCUUUUGCGGUGUGGGAUGGGCCCGCGGCCUAUCAGCUUGUUGGUGGGGUGAUGGCCUACCAAGGCGACGACGGGUAGCCGGCCUGAGAGGGUGUCCGGCCACACUGGGACUGAGAUACGGCCCAGACUCCUACGGGAGGCAGCAGUGGGGAAUAUUGCACAAUGGGCGCAAGCCUGAUGCAGCGACGCCGCGUGAGGGAUGACGGCCUUCGGGUUGUAAACCUCUUUCGCCAGGGACGAAGCGCAAGUGACGGUACCUGGAGAAGAAGCACCGGCCAACUACGUGCCAGCAGCCGCGGUAAUACGUAGGGUGCGAGCGUUGUCCGGAAUUACUGGGCGUAAAGAGCUCGUAGGUGGUUUGUCGCGUUGUUCGUGAAAACUCACAGCUUAACUGUGGGCGUGCGGGCGAUACGGGCAGACUGGAGUACUGCAGGGGAGACUGGAAUUCCUGGUGUAGCGGUGGAAUGCGCAUAUAUCAGGAGGAACACCGGUGGCGAAGG